ACUCCUGCGGGAGGCAGCAGUGGGGAAUAUUGCACAAUGGGCGCAAGCCUGAUGCAGCGACGCCGCGUGGGGGAUGAAGGCCUUCGGGUUGUAAACUCCUUUCGCUAGGGACGAAGCUUUUUUGUGACGGUACCUAGAUAAGAAGCACCGGCUAACUACGUGCCAGCAGCCGCGGUAAUACGUAGGGUGCGAGCGUUGUCCGGAAUUACUGGGCGUAAAGGGCUCGUAGGUGGUUUGUCGCGUCGUCUGUGAAAUUCUGGGGCUUAACUCCGGGCGUGCAGGCGAUACGGGCAUAACUUGAGUGCUGUAGGGGUAACUGGAAUUCCUGGUGUAGCGGUGAAAUGCGCAGAUAUCAGGAGGAACACCGAUGGCGAAGGCAGGUUACUGGGCAGUUACUGACGCUGAGGAGCGAAAGCAUGGGUAGCGAACAGGAUUAGAUACCCUAGUAGUUCCAUG
rnacentral:rRNA from 1 species